UACGAAGGGGGCUAGCGUUGUUCGGAAUUACUGGGCGUAAAGCGCACGUAGGCGGAUUGUUAAGUCAGAGGUGAAAUCCCGGAGCUCAACUUCGGAACUGCCUUUGAUACUGGCAAUCUCGAGUCCGGAAGAGGUUAGUGGAAUUCCCAGUGUAGAGGUGAAAUUCGUAGAUAUUGGGAAGAACACCAGUGGCGAAGGCGGCUCACUGGCCCGGUACUGACGCUGAGGUGCGAAAGCGUGGGGAGCAAACAGG
rnacentral:rRNA from 1 species